AUCGCGAAAAGGUAAACCCUGAGCGAUCAGGGGGCGCAAAGAAAAGGAUCUUUGCCUGUGCAGGGAAAAGUGCAGGGGAAAAGAGUUAACGAUUUUUCAGCGUAUACGGAAAUACGCAUUGCUUAAGAUAGCCUUACUGCCAAA
rnacentral:ncRNA from 1 species